UGAACUAAAUAUAACUGGAAGGCUACCUUCUGAUAUAUCGGUAACACACGAAAUGAAGCCAAAAUUUUGCGUGAUCUGACCUCCAGACACGCGUUUCUGGUAGUCAAAUCACGCGAGUUCGGCCUCGCGAUGCGUGAUUGGAAGGAGUGAGUAAAGAGUCUGAACGAAUAAACUACAUGUUUUGGCCAAGCUUUAGAAAGGAAAAUUACUGAAUUUAUUUAGUUUUGCUGCGUUUUCUUUUGAUAUUAAUACAGGAAAUUUAAGUUUCUUGCCGACCAAAUAAUUUUUUACCCAGAAGGCUUACCGAUGGCAAAGGAUUGUGCUCGGAUAUUGGCGAAAACUUUCAAAUGUAAAAAUCCCAAUGGUUGAAAAGACGCAGUGUGAAAUAUUUGUCUGCGAUAUGCUUUGUCAGUUGAGUGCUGUGAUCGUCUUCGAUAACAGCCUCGUUAACACCAUCUUCGUGAUCUCUGAAUAGAGGAAAGGUCGAUUCCAGAUUAAAAUGUUGGCAAACUGCAAUAAUCAUACUGUUCUUCAACUUUGCCCUGUUACUAAUAUGCUGAUUGUCGUUGCCUGUCACCGUUGCUUUGAAAACGUGUUCGCAGAACUCUAUACAACGAUACACCGCUGUGGAUGGAAUCUGUAAACCACCGUUGUUCACGAAGUUGACGAAAGCUGACGCUUUUCCAGCUUCAUGAUAUUUUGUGGCAGUAUAAUCAUGGUCAUCUACGGAUAACGAUUUUGGUAAAGGACAAAGGCAUCGUUUGCAUUCUGGGCAAGAUAAAUUGUUGACUAACUUCGAAACUAUGUAUCCUGCAAUAUAAAAUAUAACGUUCGAAAUAAAUUCGCUGUUGCCUUCUUGGA